rnacentral:rRNA from 1 species
AUUGAACGCUGGCGGCAGGCCUAACACAUGCAAGUCGAGCGGCAGCACUUCGGGUGGCGAGCGGCGGACGGGUGAGUAACACGUAGGAAUCUACCUAGUAGUGGGGGAUAGCCCGGGGAAACUCGGAUUAAUACCGCAUACGCUCUACGGAGGAAAGGGGGCUUUGGCUCUCGCUAUUAGAUGAGCCUGCGUCGGAUUAGCUAGUUGGUGAGGUAAAGGCUCACCAAGGCGACGAUCCGUAACUGGUCUGAGAGGAUGAUCAGUCACACUGGAACUGAGACACGGUCCAGACUCCUACGGGAGGCAGCAGUGGGGAAUAUUGGACAAUGGGGGAAACCCUGAUCCAGCCAUGCCGCGUGUGUGAAGAGGGCCUUCGGUUGUAAGCGACUUAAGUACGAGGAGGAAGGGUUACGUUAC